UUAACGAUAGCCAAGUAAACUGUGAUUUAUCAAUCAAAAGUAUACAACUGCAGGGUUUUGUACUUGUUUACGCGAUACAAGUAACUACUUCAUUGGAAAGAUGCUUUCUCUGUGUAACUCGAUUUCACGAUCUAUUAUGUUUAGAAUUGUAAAUCGUCACAGCUAUUUACGAUGUCUUUCUAUAUCACACACUAAUUUUGAAGGACGAUGUCAACAUCGCAAGUCUAACAUCCAAACGAAAGCUAAUCUUUCACAAGCAAUCAAAGUUGCUCAUAUGUAUAAUCCCGGCGAAUUUCCAUUGUCGGACAAAACCGUCGGGCAAACACUCGGCGAAGCUGUUGCAACGUGGCCCGAACAAACUUGUAUCGUUUCGAUCCAUCAAAAUAUUCGAUUAACGUUCUCCGACCUUCUUCGACGGGUUGACGCUUUUGCUGCGGGCCUCAAGAAAUUAGGAAUGAAGAAGGG